rnacentral:rRNA from 1 species
GGCUUAACACAUGCAAGUCGAGGGGCAUCAGGAAGAAAGCUUGCUUUCUUUGCUGGCGACCGGCGCACGGGUGAGUAACACGUAUCCAACCUGCCCUUUACUCGGGGAUAGCCUUUCGAAAGAAAGAUUAAUACCCGAUGGCAUAAUGAUUCCGCAUGGUUUCAUUAUUAAAGGAUUCCGGUAAAGGAUGGGGAUGCGUUCCAUUAGGUUGUUGGUGAGGUAACGGCUCACCAAGCCUUCGAUGGAUAGGGGUUCUGAGAGGAAGGUCCCCCACAUUGGAACUGAGACACGGUCCAAACUCCUACGGGAGGCAGCAGUGAGGAAUAUUGGUCAAUGGGCGCUAGCCUGAACCAGCCAAGUAGCGUGAAGGAUGAAGGCUCUAUGGGUCGUAAACUUCUUUUAUAUAAGAAUAAAGUGCAGUAUGUAUACUGUUUUGUAUGUAUUAUAUGAAUAAGGAUCGGCUAACUCCGUGCCAGCAGCCGCGGUAAUACGGAGGAUCCGAGCGUUAUCCGGAUUUAUUGGGUUUAAAGGGAGCGUAGGUGGACUGGUAAGUCAGUUGUGAAAGUUUGCGGCUCAACCGUAAAAUUGCAGUUGAUACUGUCAGUCUUGAGUACAGUAGAGGUGGGCGGAAUUCGUGGUGUAGCGGUGAAAUGCUUAGAUAUCACGAAGAACUCCGAUUGCGAAGGCAGCUCACUGGACUGCAACUGACACUGAUGCUCGAAAGUGUGGGUAUCAAACAGGAUUAGAUACCCUGGUAGUCCACACAGUAAACGAUGAAUACUCGCUGUUUGCGAUAUACAGUAAGCGGCCAAGCGAAAGCAUUAAGUAUUCCACCUGGGGAGUACGCCGGCAACGGUGAAACUCAAAGGAAUUGACGGGGGCCCGCACAAGCGGAGGAACAUGUGGUUUAAUUCGAUGAUACGCGAGGAACCUUACCCGGGCUUAAAUUGCAGUGGAAUGAUGUGGAAACAUGUCAGUGAGCAAUCACCGCUGUGAAGGUGCUGCAUGGUUGUCGUCAGCUCGUGCCGUGAGGUGUCGGCUUAAGUGCCAUAACGAGCGCAACCCUUAUCUUUAGUUACUAACAGGUUAUGCUGAGGACUCUAGAGAGACUGCCGUCGUAAGAUGUGAGGAAGGUGGGGAUGACGUCAAAUCAGCACGGCCCUUACGUCCGGGGCUACACACGUGUUACAAUGGGGGGUACAGAAGGCAGCUAGCGGGUGACCGUAUGCUAAUCCCAAAAGCCUCUCUCAGUUCGGAUCGAAGUCUGCAACCCGACUUCGUGAAGCUGGAUUCGCUAGUAAUCGCGCAUCAGCCACGGCGCGGUGAAUACGUUCCCGGGCCUUGUACACACCGCCCGUCAAGCCAUGGGAGCCGGGGGUACCUGAAGUACGUAACCGCAAGGAUCGUCCUAGGGUAAAACUGGUGACUGGGGCUAA